CCUACGGGCGGCAGCAGUGAGGAAUAUUGGUCAAUGGACGAGAGUCUGAACCAGCCAAGUAGCGUGAAGGAUGACUGCCCUAUGGGUUGUAAACUUCUUUUAUAUGGGAAUAAAAUGUUCCACGUGUGGGAUUUUGUAUGUACCAUAUGAAUAAGGAUCGGCUAACUCCGUGCCAGCAGCCGCGGUAAUACGGAGGAUCCGAGCGUUAUCCGGAUUUAUUGGGUUUAAAGGGAGCGUAGGUGGAUUGGUAAGUCAGUUGUGAAAGUUUGCGGCUCAACCGUAAAAUUGCAGUUGAAACUGGCAGUCUUGAGUACAGUAGAGGUGGGCGGAAUUCGUGGUGUAGCGGUGAAAUGCUUAGAUAUCACGAAGAACUCCGAUUGCGAAGGCAGUUCACUGGACUGCAACUGACACUGAGGCUCGAAAGUGUGGGUAUCAAACAGGAUUAGAUACCCGUGUAGUC
rnacentral:rRNA from 1 species